CCUACGGGAGGCAGCAGUGGGGAAUAUUGCACAAUGGGGGAAACCCUGAUGCAGCGACGCCGCGUGAGUGAAGAAGGAAGUCGGUAGGGAAAGCUCUAUCAGCAGGGAAGAAAAUGACGGUACCUGAGUAAGAAGCCCCGGCGAACGACGUGCCAGCAGCCGCGGUAAUCCGUAGGGGGCAAGCGUUAUCCGGAUUUACUGGGUGUAAAGGGAGCGUAGACGGCAGUGCAAGGCGGGAGUGAAAGGCGGGGGCUCAACCCCCGGACUGCUCUUGAAACGGUACGGCUGGUGUGCAGGAGAGGUAAGUGGCAUUCCUCGUGUAGCGGUUAAAUGCGUAGAUAUUA
rnacentral:rRNA from 1 species